rnacentral:rRNA from 1 species
CUUCCGUAGGGUGAACCUGCGGAAGGAUCAUUACUGAGUGAGGGCCCUCUGGGUCCAACCUCCCACCCGUGUUUAUUGUACCUUGUUGCUUCGGUGCGCCCGCCUCACGGCCGCCGGGGGGCUUCUGCCCCCGGGUCCGCGCGCACCGGAGACACCAUUGAACUCUGUCUGAAGAUUGCAGUCUGAGCAUAAACUAAAUAAGUUAAAACUUUCAACAACGGAUCUCUUGGUUCCGGCAUCGAUGAAGAACGCAGCGAAAUGCGAUAACUAAUGUGAAUUGCAGAAUUCAGUGAAUCAUCGAGUCUUUGAACGCACAUUGCGCCCCCUGGUAUUCCGGGGGGCAUGCCUGUCCGAGCGUCAUUGCUGCCCUCAAGCACGGCUUGUGUGUUGGGCUCCGUCCCCCCGGGGACGGGUCCGAAAGGCAGCGGCGGCACCGAGUCCGGUCCUCGAGCGUAUGGGGCUUUGUCACCCGCUCUGUAGGCCCGGCCGGCGCCAGCCGACAACCAAUCAUCCUUUUUUCAGGUUGACCUCGAUCAGGUAGCUCCGGAU